rnacentral:misc_RNA from 1 species
GCCGCAAUCACUUCCCUAUGUGGAGGCAGCUGAGGAGUCAUUGGAAAGCUUCUUCCAAGCCCUCGAGUUACAAGAAACCAUCUCAGGCAAUGGAGGGGCUAUGGCUAUGGUAGCCAAAAUAAUGACAAGGAGUGGGUACGAAGAAGGCAAAGGCCUAGGCGCCACAUUACAGGGAAUCGUUGAACCCAUACCAACUAUCCAGAAGGUAGGCCGCUGCGGUUUGGGUUAUGAGGAAGAUGCCCUUAUGGAUGGGCAUUUCUGGAUGAGGAAAAUGCUCCGGGAUCAAAGGUUCGAUCGGAAAAUG